GAUGAAGAACGUAGCGAAAUGCGAUAAGUAAUGUGAAUUGCAGAAUUCAGUGAAUCAUCGAAUCUUUGAACGCACAUUGCGCCUAUUAGUAUUCUAGUAGGCAUGCCUGUUCGAGCGUCAUUUCAACCCUCAAGCUCUGCUUGGUGUUGGGGCGUCUGCAGCUCCGGCUGCAGGCCCUGAAAUCUAGUGGCGGGCUCGCUAUAACUCCGAGCGUAGUAGUAUAUCUCGCUUUGGAAGUGUAGCGUGUCUCCGGCCGUUAAACCCCCAAAAUUCUGAAUGUUGACCUCGGAUCAGGUAGGAAUACCCGCUGAACUUAAGCAUAUCAAUAAGCGGAGGA
rnacentral:misc_RNA from 1 species